CUGCCCGGCCGCCCAUCGUCUGGGAUGUGGGGAGCGCCUCUGCCCCGCCGCCCCGUCUAGGAUGUGAGGAGCGCCUCUGCCCGGCCGGGACCCCGUCUGGGAGGGAUAGAAGCAUUGACCUUGAAUACAUUAGGAAAGCUGAAGAAUCUGGGUCAACAUUGGAAAAUGUCCAUAUUAACAAAGAAAAAGGAGCUUGGUUUGCCAGAAAAGAUAUUGCAAUCUCUCCCUCGAUCAGAUUUGCUAAUUCUUGUGAAUGCUUGUGAAACACCUCGGGUCUCAAAUCCAAAUCACAUGAAGAACUAGGCCCUUGAGCACAUCAUUGGUGCUGUCUCUUUGACAAAAAGCAUUUUUAGUUGAUGGAAAAUCACCAACUUUCACCCCUAAAAACAUCUGUGAAGAGCAGAAAACAGCCUGACUCUUAUAGAUGUCCCUGACAGCAAGCCAACCCUGGGAGAAACAAUGGUUUGGAACAAUAGCACCUGAGGUGGAAGAAAACACAGUGGGCCUCUCACUUUCGCUCUCUAACCACAACAAUUGAAAGAGACUAUGGCCUGAAAAAUCUAUCUGCUCCUAAAUGGUACCCAGAUGGAAAUCACAGCUGCUGUCAUGUACCACCUGUACCUACGCCCAUCCAUCUUCAGAACACGCCUGGGGCAGAGGAGAGAAAUCGAGUUGACAGAGCAGUUAAAGAGCCUCUCUUUUCUCCUGCAUACUUUUCCUUUUAUCUUUUUCUCUUCAGUUUCAGAGCUUCUUGUUCUCACCUUCAUGCUGUGGCAAUGCUGACAAAAGAAAACUGCAGCCUCUGAGAACCAGUGGGAAACUGGGAAACUGACACUUCCUGCCUUAUAUUGUUGCAGUUGCAAAGAUCAAAUACCAAGGUUAUGGGAAGAUGUUUUGAAGCCCCAUAUAAAUAUGUAAUUUAAUUUAUUCCAAUAAAGACUCAUUGCACAGGCUGGGCACAAUGGCUCACACCUCUCAUUUCAGCUCUUUGGGAGGUCAAGGUGGGCCGAUUGCUUGAGCCCAGGAGUUCGCGACCAGCCUGGGCAAUAUGAUGAAACCCCAUUUCUACAAAAAAAAUACAAAAAUUAGCUGGGUGUGGAGGUGUGCAUGCUUGUAGUCCCAGCUACUUGAGAGGCUGAGUGGGAGAUCGCUUGAGCUUGAGAGGCAGGGAUUGCAGUGAGCCGAGAUUAUGCCACUGCACUCCAGCCUGGGCGACAGAGCAAGACCAUGUGUCAAAAACAAACCAACCAACAAACAAACAAAGACUCAUUGCACAUAUAAGCAAUAGAUCAACCAUUUUCAAAGAGCAUAACCAAAAAAAAAAUCCAACACUACACAAAUCUUGAAUAUAAUUUAACCUUUCUUCGAAAGUUUAGAAAGUAUUUCAAGAUGAGGCAAUGCUUUUCUCUAACAUUAACAUGAGCAUCGAUUACAGAAAUGUUCCACUGAAUUACAUGGCAAAAUUAAAAUUCUGAUGAUUUUAUGUACAUGGUUGCUUGAAAUAUGAGCUAUCAGUAGCUACUAUAUCCCAUUAGGCCUUUCAAGUUCACAUCAUAAGUUGUAUAAGAGAUAGGACACCUCCAUUGAAAACAUCAGUCGACUUAGACGAUUUCUGUCAGAUAUUAUUGAUUCAGCAAUAUAAGAAUGCGACGAUGUAGUCCCAGCUACUGGGGAGGCUGAGGCAGGAGAAUGGCGUGAACCUGGGAGGCAGAGCUUGCAGUGAGCCUGGGAGACGGAGCUUGCAGUGAGCCGAGAUCGCGCCACUGCACUCCAGCCUGGGUGACAGAGCAAGACUUCGUCUCAAAAAAAAAAAAAAAAAAAAGUCAACGAAAGGACAUGGGUUUGGAGAGUAACCAGAGAUGCUGCCAAUUAAAGAUACCCCUUACUCAAGACACUUUAUUUCUCUCUGUUGGAACAUUGUCAUAAUAUACUGUCAUCUACUAAAAAAUUACUGUAAUAAAUAUAAAAAUCUUCACUGUCUGCCAUGACAGGAACCGCAUGAGCUGUUAUGCCCUUCUGCAACGCAGAACUUUCCCAACCAUAUAUGGUGGCCCUGAGAUGUGUAGUUUUGCCCUUUACACCUUUAUUUUCUAUUAGUACAUUUACUUUUUAAAAAAGUAUGAACUAUCAUUUGCAAUUUGAAAAACAUCAAAUACAGAACAUUUAAAAAAUAUAUCGCUAGACCUCAAAAUGAAUCUUAAUGGCAAUCACAGAUUUCAACCCUUUCAACCAGAUUUCUGAGUGUCUGAACAUAGAUGUAGGCUCUGAGACUAUGAUUUCUAGCUUGUUUUUCCUAAAUAUUCACUGUGUAAUUGGGACACUAUCACUUAGCCCCUUUGUUCCUUAUUAUAUCAUUUAUAAAUUUUAUAACUAUAUUUUAAUAAAGGUACUUAAUAUCUAGAUAAUAGAUAAAUGGUUUGUCUAUAAUCCCUAAUUUAUAUACAAUAAGUCUACCAACUUUUAUGGUAGAACUUCAUAAGUUUUAAACUAGUAUAAUAUUUAAUUUUUAGUAUAUAAACAUCUGAUGUGGUUUGGCUGUGUCCUCACCCAAAUCUCUCCAUGAAUUGUAAUAAUCCCCAGGUGUCAAGGGCAGGGCCAGGUGGAAAUAAUUGAAUCACUAGGGCGGUUUCCCCCAUACUGUUCUCAUGGUCCUGAGUAAGUCUCCUGAGAUCUGAUGGUUUUAUAAAUGGGAGUUUUCCUGCACUAGUGCUCUUGCCUGCUGACAUGUGAGAUGUGACUUUGCUCCUCAUUCACCUUCCACCAUGAUUGUGAGGCCUCCCCAGCAAUGUGGAACUAUGAGUCAAUUAAACCUUUUUCCUUUAUAAAUUACCCUGUCUCGGGUAUGUCCUUAUUAGCAGCAUGAGAACAGACUAAUACAAUAUCCCAUCAAAUUAUAAAUGAAUCUGAGGCUCUGAUUCAGACAAAGGAUGGAUGGAUUGGUAGUCACAUUUAUCUAUAGAAUAAAACUGGAAUGACAUACAGUACAAUGUUUCAGUGAUUCAUGAAUGGUUGGGAUAUGGCAGUUUUAAUUUUCAUAUUUGUACAUUUCUGUAUUUGGUGAAUUUUGUAUAAUGAUCAUGAAUUGUUUCUGUUGAGAAUGUUGUUGGAACAGUUGGGCUGGGAAAAUCUCUACCUCCCACAAAGUAUUUUGGAGAAAGGAACUGUGAACAGCCUGGAGGAAAAUUUAAUAUUUAACUCAAACAAGUGGCAUCCACUAUAUUCACACUGGCAGAGCUUUUCAGAAUUAGAGUCUUGCUUUCUUUUUGUAAGCAUCAGGAUUGAUUUUUAUAUGUGUUCUAAUCUUAGUUUAGUCCUUUAACCAUUUUUCCCAGGAUAAUAGAAAUGAAAGAAUGUUGUAUUUUGGCUUGCUGAGUUAGAAUGAAUGGAAAAAACUUAAAGGAAGCAGCAGAAGGAACAGUGAGAAUGACAUACAUUUUCUUUUUUUCUUUUUUUUUUUUUGAGAGUGAGUCUUGCUCUGUGACCCAGGCUAGAGUGCAGUAGCACGAUCUCGGCUCACUGCAAACUCUGCCUCCCGGGUUCCAGCGAUUCUCCUGCCUCAGCCUCCCGAAUAGCUGGGAUUAGAGGCGUCCACUACAGCGCCUGGCUAAUUUUUGUAUUUUUUAGUAGAGACAGGGUUUCAUCAUUUUGGCCAGGCUGGUCUGGAACUCCUGACCUCAUGAUCCACUUGCCUCAGUCUCCCAAAAUGCUGGGAUUACAGGCAUGAGCCACUGAGCCCAGCCGACAUACAUUUUCUCUAGAUCACUGCAGCCUAGCUUAAAUAUGCUUCUCUAGGUCAUCUCUCUAUUUCCACCUAUAUCUGUGCAUCAACAUCUCAGGCUAUUAUGUUCUCAAAUCUGUUUUCAAUAUGAAAAUACAGACAUGAGAAAGAGCCAAUGCUGUUCUCAGGAUCUUACAAUUCAUUCUGCAUCUACACAGUCCUGGAGUUCCAAACACAGAUUGCCAUAACAAGAGAAAUUAGCCAGAGCACUAACUGUUUUCAAAAUAACAAUUCAUUUCACUAAAAUCAGUGAAUGGCUCUUUUCAAAGCGUAAUUAUACUUUCUAGGGGAAGACAUUAGGUCUACUGAAAGUAAGUCACCUAAUUUACAGAUACCAAUGAUGAAAAUCUUCUCAAGGCAUUGGGGGAAUAAAAGACAUUAAUUCUCAGUUUGUAAAUGAACAUGAAAUGUGAUGUGCCCACUACCAUGUGGGUGUUUCUCUGCAGAUCUGCUAGUAAGCAGGCAUAAUGUGCCAGUAAGAAGGCAACCUGGAAAACAUAGCCAGGAACUGGGACAACUGGGAAGCUGAUAGAAAGAGUUGUUUAAUGUGUAAGCUGUCGUCUGCACACACAGAAGCAUUUCCAUGGCUAUGAACAAAGGGUAACUGCGGGGUGGUUUAUUAAUUGAAAAUAAAUGUCCUUUUCUUUGUGAAAUGGCUAGAUAUUGAAAAACCAAACACAUGCUAAGAGGACGUGCACAGUCAGCAGAGAAACAUCAGCUUGGAAAAAUCUGCCAACAAGGAGAAAGUUUAGAAUGGAUUGGUUUCCUGUCUCUGCACAACAAAUAAACCACCAAGGGAUUCCCAAGGAUCUAAAUAAUGAACCAAUCUCUCUCUCUCCUUUUCCCUUUCCAUCUCCCUCUCCCUCACUCCCUUCUCUUACGUGCAUCGGAGAAUGGUGAGCAAGUACCUAGGGAACUACAGUAUUUUGGGUCCUCCUUCUGACAAGGCAACUAACACCUGAAAAAAAAAAAUGAAUCCCAUACAUUUCAUACUAAAGAACUGGGGGCUUACUACGAGACAAAAGAAAAAUUAGAUCUCUAGUUCGGAAGGCAAUUUUUUCCACAUCGUUAAAUAAAUAUGGUCAGCAUUCAACAAUUGUGCUGAUGAAGUGAGUAUGUGGAUAUAUUACAGAAUCAAUUUUCUUACCUAUUUUAUUUCUAGGCUCAGCAUCAGGUUGUUAAUUUUGACCCAGCCAUCCCAUUACUGGGUAUAUACCCAAAGGACUAUAAAUCAUGCUGCUAUAAAGACACAUGCACACGUAUGUUUAUUGCGGCAUUAUUC
rnacentral:lncRNA from 1 species